AUUGAACGCUGGCGGCAGGCUUAACACAUGCAAGUCGAGCGGGGGAAGGUAGCUUGCUACCGGACCUAGCGGCGGACGGGUGAGUAAUGCUUAGGAAUCUGCCUAUUAGUGGGGGACAACAUCUCGAAAGGGAUGCUAAUACCGCAUACGUCCUACGGGAGAAAGCAGGGGAUCUUCGGACCUUGCGCUAAUAGAUGAGCCUAAGUCGGAUUAGCUAGUUGGUGGGGUAAAGGCCUACCAAGGCGACGAUCUGUAGCGGGUCUGAGAGGAUGAUCCGCCACACUGGGACUGAGACACGGCCCAGACUCCUACGGGAGGCAGCAGUGGGGAAUAUUGGACAAUGGGGGGAACCCUGAUCCAGCCAUGCCGCGUGUGUGAAGAAGGCCUUAUGGUUGUAAAGCACUUUAAGCGAGGAGGAGGCCACUUUAGUUAAUACCCAGAAUGAGUGGACGUUACUCGCAGAAUAAGCACCGGCUAACUCUGUGCCAGCCGCCGCGGUAACAC
rnacentral:rRNA from 1 species